UAGUAGUACGUGAACAUUUUUCUGAAACCGAAACUGCAUUAAAUUUUCCAAGCAGCGCCUGGAGCGGCGUAGUACGUCACCUCAUGCAUACAUUUUUCCGCCCCUUUUUACCAAAUCGUCUGCUAUGUCUUUGAAUGAAUUGCAGGAAGUCGGCAGACACUAUAUCAAUUGCUGAUAGGGGAAGACGUCAGCAGUCAUGUGCCUCGGUCUUGACUGUGCACAUGGACCGUCCAUACGUGCAGCUACGGGCGCCGCAGUUGGGGCAGUGAAGUUCUGAAUGCUUGCAUAACAUGCGACUGUGUGUCAUUCCACAUGAAAAAACUUCAGUCCUGUUUCUGUUCUGGAAUGAAAGUAAGUUUCGUGAUGGUUCGCAACUAUGCUUACUUGUGGGCGAAAUUCUAGUUUAAAAGGUAUAAUAAAAACAUAGUAUUUCA